rnacentral:piRNA from 1 species
UUGUGUUUUGGAUAGCUCCUUCAGUACACA